AUGAACGCUGGCGGCGUGCUUAACACAUGCAAGUCGAACGAAGCACCUUGAUUUGAUUCUUCGGAUGAAGAUCUUGGUGACUGAGUGGCGGACGGGUGAGUAACGCGUGGGUAACCUGCCUCAUACAGGGGGAUAACAGUUAGAAAUGACUGCUAAUACCGCAUAAGACCACAGCACCGCAUGGUGCAGGGGUAAAAACUCCGGUGGUAUGAGAUGGACCCGCGUCUGAUUAGGUAGUUGGUGGGGUAACGGCCUACCAAGCCGACGAUCAGUAGCCGACCUGAGAGGGUGACCGGCCACAUUGGGACUGAGACACGGCCCAAACUCCUACGGGAGGCAGCAGUGGGGAAUAUUGCACAAUGGGGGAAACCCUGAUGCAGCGACGCCGCGUGAGCGAUGAAGUAUUUCGGUAUGUAAAGCUCUAUCAGCAGGGAAGAAAAUGACGGUACCUGACGAAGAAGCACCGGCUAAAUACGUG
rnacentral:rRNA from 1 species